UAUAGCUCAGUGGUAGAGUGCCUGCCUAGUGUGCAUGUGGCCCUGGGUUCAAUCCCCAAUA
rnacentral:tRNA from 1 species